rnacentral:rRNA from 1 species
UACGUAGGGGGCAAGCGUUAUCCGGAUUUACUGGGCGUAAAGAGCGUGUAGGCGGCCAAACAGGUCCGUUGUGAAAACUGGAGGCUUAACCUCCAGACGUCGACGGAAACCGUGUGGCUAGAGUCCGGAAGAGGAGAGUGGAAUUCCUGGUGUAGCGGUGAAAUGCGCAGAUAUCAGGAGGAACACCGGUGGCGAAGGCGGUUCUCUGGGCAUUACCUGACGCUGAGGAGCGAAAGUGUGGGGAGCGAACAGG